CAUAUUAGCCUUUUAUUAGUAUAAAUAAGGAUCUGGCAAACUUUCCUCAGAUCAAUGAUCAUAAGUGGGUCAGCAAUUUGAUGUUUUUUACAGAUCUCUCUGUUCAUAUGAAUGAACUGAACUUAAAAUUACAAGGUUUUGGCAAAAGUAUUGACGUUAUGUUUGGAUACAUCAAAUCUUUUGGAAGUAAACUUAAAAUUUUCAAG